UAACACUAACUGGAGGACCGAACCGACUAAUGUUGAAAAAUUAGCGGAUGACUUGUGGCUGGGGGUGAAAGGCCAAUCAAACCGGGAGAUAGCUGGUUCUCCCCGAAAGCUAUUUAGGUAGCGCCUCGUGAAUUCAUCUCCGGGGGUAGAGCACUGUUUCGGCAAGGGGGUCAUCCCGACUUACCAACCCGAUGCAAACUGCGAAUACCGGAGAAUGUUAUCACGGGAGACACACGGCGGGUGCUAACGUCCGUCGUGAAGAGGGAAACAACCCAGACCGCCAGCUAAGGUCCCAAAGUCAUGGUUAAGUGGGAAACGAUGUGGGAAGGCCCAGACAGCCAGGAUGUUGGCUUAGAAGCAGCCAUCAUUUAAAGAAAGCGUAAUAGCUCACUGGUCGAGUCGGCCUGCGCGGAAGAUGUAACGGGGCUAAACCAUGCACCGAAGCUGCGGCAGCGACACUAUGUGUUGUUGGGUAGGGGAGCGUUCUGUAAGCCUGUGAAGGUGGCCUGUGAGGGUUGCUGGAGGUAUCAGAAGUGCGAAUGCUGACAUAAGUAACGAUAAAGCGGGUGAAAAGCCCGCUCGCCGGAAGACCAAGGGUUCCUGUCCAACGUUAAUCGGGGCAGGGUGAGUCGACCCCUAAGGCGAGGCCGAAAGGCGUAGUCGAUGGGAAACAGGUUAAUAUUCCUGUACUUGGUGUUACUGCGAAGGGGGGACGGAGAAGGCUAUGUUGGCCGGGCGACGGUUGUC
rnacentral:rRNA from 1 species